GUGCUUGCUUCAGCAGCACCAAUGCUAAAAUUGGAAUGGUACAGAGAAGAUCAGCACAGACCUGCAUGAGAAUGAAACUCAAAUUGGUGAAAUGUUCCAUAUUUUA